rnacentral:rRNA from 1 species
AUUGAACGCUGGCGGCAGGCCUAACACAUGCAAGUCGAGCGAGCGGCGGACGGGUGAGUACUGUAUGGGGAUCUGCCCGGUGGAGGGGGAUAACUACUGGAAACGGUGGCUAAUACCGCAUACUAUCGGAUGUACCCAUAUGGGAUUAGCUAGUAGGGGGGGUAAAGGCUCACCUAGGCGACGAUCUCUAGCUGGUCUGAGAGGAUGAUCAGCCACACUGGGACUGAGACACGGCCCAGACUCCUACGGGAGGCAGCAGUGGGGAAUUUUGGACAAUGGGCGAAACCCUGAUGCAGCCAUGCCGCGUGUAUGAAGAAGGCCUUAGGGUUGUAAAGCACUUUCAGCGGGGAGGCGUUACCUGCAGAAGAAGCACCGGCUAACUCCGUGCCAGCAGCCGCGGUAAUAC